rnacentral:lncRNA from 1 species
ACGUGAUAGAGGGGAUUUUUUUGAAUCAGUAGCAAAAAGAAUCAACUAAAAUGGAGUUAUAAAACUAAGGAUACAAAAAAAACUCAGAUGUAAUCUAAAAAGGGAUUUUCGUGAAAACGUUAGAUUUCGGACAGAUGACAAGUGGCGCGAUGUGAAUGGCUGUUGGGUGUUUGCUGCGAUGCAAAAAAAAUGGACGGCCAAUCAUUAACUAUUUUGGAAAUAGAUGGCUAAUAAUGCAAAACCGAACGGUUUACUAGAUCUAAACUGAAAAAACCGAUCUGACCUAAUAUAACGGUUCGAUCUAGACUGGAGGAGAACCGAUCUAAUCCAAUAAACUGCAAUUCUUAGGUCUAAAAAAACCUAGCUAACACAGGGAGAGCGCUCGGUCUUUUCUUACACGGAAGGAGCUCGGUCGUGGGAAGGAAGAACAUGAUGGUGGUGCGGAGGUUCCGGCAAUCAACGGCGUCGGGGAGGUUGUCCAACAGAUGCGGGACGUCGAGGGCGACCAAUUUUUGCUGAUGGUGAAUGUUGGUGGUGACCGAAACGAGCGGGGCAUCGAGGUGAACUCCGUGAACUACGGCGGCGUUACGAGCUCAGGGCGGUUGCUGUAAAUGGAGAGACGAGAUUAGACCUUGUCAAAUAGAAACUAGGGAUCGAAAGAAGUCGAAGUAGAGAAGAUGGAGGCUCGGGAUGGCUCACGGGCGUCGAAAUCCAGCGAUGAACCACUGCUUCUGCAGUGAGAUCCAAAGGACGAAGGCGAGACGUAUAGGUGAUUUUGGUGUGGGGUUUCAGGGAAAUCGGUCGAGGAAGACCCCAGGUAUUUAUAGGAAAUCUUGUUUGGACGUGGGGAAGACUAGAGAUAAUAUUUCUACUGAUUUGAAACGAGAUCGGCAUCUGUACACGUACGUUGUGGAGUUGGGCUGCUGUUCGUUUUUCG